CUCGUUGAAAGAAGCGAAAACGAAAGAAGCAACUGUACACCGUCAUUACAGUCCACCUCCGACACACAGACACGCACACAUACGGGAGACAAAAAACGAGACCGCCCCCCUCCCCCUGCCUCCCUCCCCCUCCUCCGCUCCCGUCAGGAUGGUCGUCAUCAAGGGCGGUGGUCAGACGUACGCCGUCGGCAAUGGCCGUCAGAUGGAGUGGGACGAGGUGCCGGAGUCUUUCAAGAAGAAGGUGGCAGAGCAAAAGGAAAUGGAGAAGUGCAUGGACCUCAGAGCCAAGGCACAGCGCUGCAUCAGCGAUCAGGGCUUUUGGGCACCGGACUGCGUCCAUCUCACCGAGGCCUUCCACCUCUGCCAGUCGCACGAGCUCACGCGAACAGAGCUGACGCAGCGCAAGGAGGCGGAGUAGUAGCCCCAGCCCCUCCUUUUCGUCAUGUAAGCGCAGGCAGCACACACAUGCACGCAUACAUCGCUUGCUCUCUCAC
rnacentral:misc_RNA from 1 species